rnacentral:tRNA from 1 species
AAUAAGGUGCCUGAUAAAAGGAAUAUCUUGAUAGGAUAUAUUAUGUAUUUAUAAUACCCUUAUUA